rnacentral:tRNA from 1 species
AGUGGGGUGGCUGAGAUGUUAAGUAGGCGGUAGGCUGUAAAUCUAUUUAGGGGUGUUUGCUUCACUUUCCCACUA